rnacentral:lncRNA from 1 species
CAUAAAGAUGGAACUCAAAAGGGGUCGAAAAGGCAUCAAGAAAGGAGAAAACCCGAAGCCCGAGCGAGUACCAAGCGAGAAGAACGGAAAAUUUGCGAGUGCAGAUCACCGCUCGUCGCCCGAGUGAUGGACCCAGCGCCCGAGCGACAGACGUUUGAAGCCUGGGCGAGGAAAACUGGCGCCCAAGCGCCACAGAAGCCUUGAUUCACGCUUGGGCGAGCUCCCUGCGACGCUUGAGCGUGAAUUGACCUGGAUCGGGCCCUGUUUCUAUUCUGAUUUGAUUCUUUUGGACCGGGCUGCAAUUUGGGACACUUCUGGCACUAUUUAAAGGACCCUGGGGCUCUAGGUUUUGCAUCCCUGACAGAAGAGAGCAUACAAUACACUCCUAGCCAAUUCUUAGUCUUCCAUUCUCACUUUCUUUCUUCCAUUAUUCAUAGG